UGUGUGUGUGUGAGGCUCAAAGUCAAUGGUGUAUUAAUUAAGGGGAACAGCUGCUACCGCAGUUCUUAUGAUAAGUCAGUGACAAAUGGCCGUGUUUACCUUUCUCCUGAGCAGAGGCUCUGGAAGAUGGCCUGGAGCUCCUGGGUGGACGUCCACGGCCGAGAUUUGUGGGGUACAGCCUCUCCCUCUUGUACUCCCCAAGCUUCUUUAUUGGUGCCACCCAAGCCCAAGAGGGCUAUUUGUCACUGAAGAAAGACAGGUCCGCGGCCCAGGGAGCCUUGAAGGGAGUGGGCAGAGCAAUGGAAACUUCUCUGUAAUGGCUCCCACCCAAAAAAGAUGCCCUCAGACCCCCUCCUCAGGCAAAUCCCACCACCCUGCCCUGUCCUUGUGCAGUGAGAGCUGCUUGAAAGAAAGACGUGGCCCUUCAAAGCGGAGGAGGGCUGCAGGGCCGGAUCUGAGGCUGUGCGGCAGAGGACGCAUCUCCGGGCCUUUGUGCCGCUCAGGCGCUCCGUGCUCCAUAAAGGCAGGGGCCGGCUGGCGGGGGCCUUUUGUUAUUUGGCUUAUUUUGAUCUUGCUCCCGCUCUCCAAACAGUCUCACAGAAAUAGAGCCCUGCAUUAGCUCCCUUCACAGCUUAAGACAAAACACAGCAGAGGGAGAAUGUUUCACUGAAAAACAGAAAAGGGAAAGAUGGGCUCAUUUCUGUCUGGGUCCUUUGACUAUCAAUUUAUCCAGCAAAUUCCCAGCAGAUGGGAGGAGAGUGGGACAGUGCUCACCGGCCAGCCACCAGCUGCAGGUGGGACCGCGCGGGGGGCACAGCGGGGCCGGCUGAGGAGGAAGGGCUGGAUCUUGGUGCCAGCUCCAAUGCCCGCAGCUCUGGUGUGCCCUCGGGGUAGGGGCUGCCCUGGUGGAGAGCCGUAGGGCCAGCAGCUCAGUGAGCCCCUGCCCUGCAGAGUCCUGUGGGCCCUGCUCCCUCCCAGACAGCACUUGGGCCUCCGCAGUCUCCAGACUAGAGACUAGUGUGUUGCCAACAUCAAUCUCCCGCCUCCUUUAAGGACACCGUCGGCUGCCAAGGAGCCCCAUCCGACCUCACUCUGCUCUUCCUUUCUCCCCCUGGGGGCCUCUGGGGCCCUGCGGGGAGGCAGAAAUGGGGCCCAGGAAAGAGGGUCUACCGAUCUCCAGCCCUUGCCACCCACUCACUGGGACCAGUUUCAACCCUGAUAUUGAAGCCUGUUGCAGCGUUAUUCUUCUGGCUGCAGCCUUGAUUAAGAGACCAUUUCUUUGCCACGGGGCUGCCACUCAGAGUCCAGCCCCCCCGAUCAUCCAGACAUCAGAGGAAAUGAGAGAGUAUUGCUCAAAUGAGGGAGACCGGAGCUUUAUUAAGGAAACAAAAAAUACCAGGAAGACCGAAAG